rnacentral:rRNA from 1 species
GACGAACGCUGGCGGCGUGCUUAACACAUGCAAGUCGAACGGAAAGGCCCUGCUUUUGUGGGGUGCUCGAGUGGCGAACGGGUGAGUAACACGUGAGUAACCUGCCCUUGACUUUGGGAUAACUUCAGGAAACUGGGGCUAAUACCGGAUAGGAGCUCCUGCUGCAUGGUGGGGGUUGGAAAGUUUCGGCGGUUGGGGAUGGACUCGCGGCUUAUCAGCUUGUUGGUGGGGUAGUGGCUUACCAAGGCUUUGACGGGUAGCCGGCCUGAGAGGGUGACCGGCCACAUUGGGACUAAGAUACGGCCCAGACUCCAACGGGAGGCAGCAGUCGGGAAUAUUGCACAAUGGGCGGAAGCCUGAUGCAGCAACGCCGCGUGCGGGAUGACGGCCUUCGGGUUGUAAACCGCUUUCGCCUGUGACGAAGCGGGAGUGACGGUAAUGGGUAAAGAAGCACCGGCUAACUACGUG